rnacentral:rRNA from 1 species
CAGUAGCCGCGGGAACACGUAGGGUGCAAGCGUUAAUCGGAAUUACUGGGCGUAAAGCGUGCGCAGGCGGUUUUGUAAGACAGAGGUGAAAUCCCCGGGCUCAACCUGGGAACUGCCUUUGUGACUGCAAGGCUAGAGUACGGCAGAGGGGGAUGGAAUUCCGCGUGUAGCAGUGAAAUGCGUAGAUAUGCGGAGGAACACCGAUGGCGAAGGCAAUCCCCUGGGCCUGUACUGACGCUCAUGCACGAAAGCGUGGGGAGCAAACAGGAUUAGAUACCCCGGUAGUCCCUGUCUCUUAUAU